CGCUGGGCCUCCGUGGGGGAGGGGCAGGCGAGAGCACGGUAAAUGGCGCUGUCGGUACUCAGUCACAUCCAGCUGCCCGGCGUGCCCGGCGAGCUCACCUGCUGACCUGGUCGUCCAAGAAACGCCGCUCUGGUUCUGAUCUCGCCAUGAAUUCCACCCUAUUGCCAGAAAUGGGCUGGUUUCCCUUUGUUGUGCAAAAUCACUGUGUCCUUGAGGAAUGUUUGGAGGGUCUUGGCAACCAGGAAUCAUCCAGAAGCAUAUCUGGUGUCAGCUCAGUUGUGUUGUCAACAUUUCAUUUGGAGUUACCUGACCUUCAGAAGAACUUCAUCCAAUAGCAGACGUGUAUAAACCUCAAGGGUCCUGUGUGAAAAGCUCCAGAUUGGGAACCAGAGGAGUUAUAUGCUUGCCUUCAUCCUUCCCAGGGAUGAUAUUGAAGUUACUUUACAACAGAUGUGGCACAGGUGUGGCAAAGGUUCCAACCCUGCAGAACAGAAGCUGCUCAAUGCUGGGGCAGGAGCGUGGAUAUUCCCUACCCGGUGGACCAGGAGUUUCCCAGCCACCAUAAAUGGAACAGUAUCAAGUUUCUGAACAUGGGAGGAAAAGAUGAUCACCUUCAGAAUAGUGGUCUGUAUAAAUACAGAUUUGUUUUUUUCCUUCCCUUUAAGGUAGCUAUUCUGACAACAGUUUAAAAAUACAGAUGUUGUUCCUUAGGAGUUGAAUUGAACUUGAAGGAGAUCGUUGACCUUAAUCAUCUUUGUAUACUUGUAUCUACUAGAUACUAGCAGACACUAAAGCACGUAUUUGCUAAAUCAAUGAUAACAUGAUAAAUCCAAGGACAUGAAGUAGCCUUCAGAAAAAUGAAAAAGAUAAAGCUUGCCCUCCUCUUAUGUAAUUGUGCACAUUUAUAAUACAUUUCACUGUGGCAUCUUUUCUGCAGUCUAUGGAAGUUCUAAAGUUUAACAGUGAAGUUGUAGAAAAUCUUUAAUAUUCUGACAAAUCUUAAAUUUUACAAAGAUGAAUGCUAAAGGAAAAGGGUUCAUGUUUUGAGUAACUUUUUAUUUUUAUAUCAUUUCUUCAAGAUUUCAUUUAUACCAGUAUUUUUAUGUUAUUAAUGGGAAAACAUCCUGUUCUCUAAGAAAUUCCUGACCAGUAUUUUAUCUAGCCUUAAGGGAAGGGCCAAGAAAAUGAACCAUAACAUUUUAUAGCAGGAAAGAAACUUGGAGAUAACCUAUACAAUUCCUCAUUUUAAAAAAUAGUAACAUCACUGAUGUAAUAAGGGAGUUGAAUGAUUUGUUCCAGUAAUGACAGAGUAAGAGUAGGAAUCAAAUCUAUUUGUUAGUCUAGAAUGCUAAGCAUGGAUAUGUAAGUACCAUUUCUAAUACGAGAUAAGGGCAACAGAGGCAAUGUCAUAUUAUUACCAACAAGUUGUGGGCCUGAUAAGUGGUAAACAUUGCACUACCUGCUUUACAUACAUUAUUUUAAAACAACACUUCCACAAGGGUAUUAUUAUUCUCAUUUUAGAGAUGAAGAAACACCAAGAAGCUGCUACUUGCUUAAAGCUUCUACAGCUCAAGUGGCAGCAAGAGGAUUUAAACCUAGGUAGGUCUGCUUUAGGGCCUGCACUCCUUUCCAUUAUUCCAUGCUGCUAUGGUAAAAAAUUCUGGCUCCCAUUAAAACUUGUUUUCCACUGCUGCUAGGUAAGAGCUGCUGAUAGAAAUCCUUAGAUACUUAUUGAAAGUGUAAGUACUAAAAGCAGUACUCUGCCACUUUAUGGUAAUAAUAGCAGAUAAAAAUUCAUUGGUCAUUAUUACUGUAUUCUGUUCAUACUGCUUUGUAAUCAUUCUAAGAAAACAAAAAAGUAAAAAAAUGAUAGAAAAGCUAGAACAAGAACUUCAAGUGCCAACUUUCUAUCUGGAAAAUCUCCAGAGCCAAACAUCUAGGAUGUUUACUUAACUAGCAGUAGCUAUGCAACCAUGCAGUCACAUUUUAGAAGCCCUUUGUGUAGCAACAGCUUCUCUAUAGACUUCUUAAUAUAGUAAAUCAAUUUCACCAUUUAUUCAAGGAUUAAAGAUGGGUGGGUGGGGGAAGAGAAACUCCCCAUCACUAACAACAACAACAAAAAAAUCCACAGUAUGUUAACACUAAUAAUUGAGUAAAUCCUAAUUCUUAGGUAGAAGUUAAAAAUAUUUAAAGUGUGAUUAAAUUGGGAUGUAACCUACAAAUUACCUACAUAAGUCUAAGUUUGGGUUUACAAAAUUCUCAGGGUAAACACUUGAGUGUCUAUUCCAUAACUGAGCUGAGUUCUGGAAAUACGAAUUAGGUAGGUAAACACACGUGGUUGAGCAGUAAGUUGAA